rnacentral:lncRNA from 1 species
CAAGGUAAAAAAAACUUUGGUUUCAGUUGACAACCCUGUGUCCUGUGGUGAAGAUCGUGUCCGCUCUAUAUCUUGAGAACCGUUAUGAUUUCAAAGUUUAUACUUGACACGUAUAUGAACCAACACCAGAGGGUGUGUCAUAAUUUAUGAACGACUGCCUAGGGCAAAGUUAAAGGUCAAAAACUUUGGUUUCAGUUGACAACCCCAUGUCCUAUGGUAAAGAUCG